UACGUAGGGCGCAAGCGUUGUCCGGAAUUAUUGGGCGUAAAGAGCUCGUAGGCGGCUUGUCACGUCGGAUGUGAAAGCUCAGAGCUCAACUCAGAGAGGCCAUUCGAUACGGGAUAGCUAGAGGCAGCUAGGGGAGAGUGGAAUUCCUGGUGUAGCGGUGAAAUGCGCAGAUAUCAGGAGGAACACCGGUGGCGAAGGCGGCUCUCUGGGGC
rnacentral:rRNA from 1 species